ACCAAGAUGGCCGAGUGGUUAAGGCGGUGGAUUUAAGUCAUUCUGGUCCCUCAUCUCCACUAUCGCAAGAUUCCUGGGUUCGAACCCCAGUCUUGGUA